CCGGUGACCACAUUUUAUGACACAACAGUUUUCAGCCUGUGAAAAUAGUCUCUCGGGAAGAGAUGUGGAACUGUAAGAGGUUAUAGUGUCCUAUCUGACAACUUGCAUGUUUGCAUUAACCCUUUACAUUCAUACAUCAUUGUCUCCUGCUCUGUUGCUCAUAAUCCCCAAGACUCUUGAGAAGUGAGCAGGACUGAAAGGUGCAUCGCAUGGAGUGUAAGUAAAGAGCUUAUUGAGAGUGAGAAUGCAGUUGAUUUGGUUUUUUUUUAUGGUACUGGGAAUUGAACCCAGGAUCAAUGGGCUGCCUCUCCAGUCCUUUUAUUUUUUAUUUUGAGACAAAGUCUCACUAAGUUGCCCACACAAGACUCAAACUGGUGAUCAUCCUGCCUCAGCCUCCUUCAGAACUGGGUGUUUUAAAUUUUGUUUUGUUUUUUCAAUCCUACUCCAUUUCUCUUGCUAGGAAAUGACAUUAUUUUAUUAUAAUUUCUCAUUUUUCCUACAGGAGCCAGCCCCACUGAUUUCAGAGGGCCAUCUAGGGAAAGGUGAAAGAAAUAUGCAUGUUAUCCUAUACACAGAGGGCCUUCCUCUGUCUAAAAGUAAUGCUUGUCCUAGCAAGGCCUUAGUCUGUAUGUGUUCCCAUGUGUGUGAGCUGUUCAGGGAUUACACAUACAUUUUAAAAUAUAUCUAUCAAAAAACCAAUCCAUUGAUCAAUCAAUCAUGUGCCUAAAUUUAUUUUGAAGGUAAGAAAAUGCAUAGUCAUACAUUAAUACCUGUUACUUGGAUUCUUAUAAAUUAGCAAUGUUUUUAAGGAUUCAGGGAGGGGUUUUUGACAGAAACAAAAAUCACUGACUUAAUAUUUGCUUAUAGAUCCAACAAUUUUUAUGAGCUUCUACACACUUGGUAGAUAAUGUACAAGGUAUCAAGAUUGUAAUAUGUAGUCUCUAUUCUCAUAGCUGCUUCUAAUCAAGAAUAAUAUAUUCAAUAUUUCUGUUAGGAGUAAAUUACUAUAUAAGAAUUUCCAUUCAAGCAUAAAAUCAUGUGUCAGAUGGCUAUUACAUCCUACGAGUGCCCCAAGAAGGGGAAAAUAGUGUGUUCUAGAAAGGCAUCUCUGUGAAGGAGCAGAGAAUUGGCUACACCUCGAACGAUGAGGAACAUUUAAACAGGUACAACAGUGGUAGGAGUGAGGUGAUGAACCUGGUUUUAUGUUGUUACUAGAGAAGCUGGACCUGAAUUAAAGUUGAGCAUGUAUUAUCUCAGAUACUUCUGAACCUGGGAGAUGAAGGUGGUUUACCCUGCUACUCUGCUACGUGGUCUGCUUAAGAUGCACUGCCUCGCCACAGGCCAAACCAAAGGGGCCAAUGAAAAUGGGCUGGAACCUCCAAAAGUCUGUACUUGGAAAGGAAACAGCCCCCAGAGACCCUCCUUGUGAUUUCCAGAUGGCAGGAUGCCUCCUAUUAGUAGGACCUAACUGGAAGCCAACUGGAGAAAAUGCCCAUAACUGGUUGAAAACUUCCAUGUGCAGAAGUCCAAGAAAUCCCAACCUCCAGCCAGCAACCAAUGCAAGACUACUAUCCUGAUGUACUGUCACACUGGAGUCAUUUAAAGUCAGUUUUUCUAUGGCACUCUUCAGGUUAUUAUAUUCAGACUGAUCUAUAGGAUACAUUCCUGCAAAUACCAUUGGUUUCACUGAUUUAAAUACAGGCAAGGGCUCCACUGGAUGAUUAUGUAAAUACAACGUAUCUCCUAUUUGUGCUUCAGUGACAUCUUUCAUCCCAGCAAUCAAAUAGCCCACCUGUCCUGCAUAUAAUUUAAGAGUUGGCUGCUCAUUAGGAUUCAGAACUCCUGCUUCAUUAACUUUGCAUGUCUUUUGAGUAUGUGCUGAUACAAUUUUAUCUCCUUUGGAAACCCACUCCAUCAAACAACACUACAUUGGCUAUCACACCUCUAUAUUGGUCAAAGGUGGAGUCAAAUACCAAAACUCUCAGAGGAUUUUUGCGAUGCACCUUAGGAAGGGGUAUUCUUUCAAUAACUGCCUGAAGAACAUGUUCAACAUUUGUUCCAAGUUUAGCAGAAAUCUUAAUACAAUCAUCACUUGGAAUAUCAAAUACUUUUUCAAUUUGUUUUUCAACCCUUUCAGGAUGUGCAUUCUUCAGAUCUGUCUUGUUUAUAACUGGAAUUAUUGACAGCUGUGCUUCAAAAGCAAGAAAGAAGUUUGCUACAGUUUGGGCUUGAAUACCCUCAUUUGCAUCGACCACCAGUAAAACACCCUGGCAAGCAGAAAGUGACCUGGAUACUUCAUAACUGAAAUCAACAUGGCCUGGUGUAUCAAUAAGAUUUAAAACGUACUCCUUUCCUUCAAAAUUGUAAAAAAGAGAUGCUGUCUGUGCUUUAACAGUGAUUCCUGUUUCUCGUUCCACUUGCAGUUUAUCAAGAACUUGCUUAUUGUCUUAUCAACUGUUCCUGUUAGUUCUAACAGCCUGUCAGCUGAAGUACUUUUGCCAUGAUCCACAUGUGCAAUGAUACUGAAAUUUCUAGUAUCUUCAACAGGAAAUCUAGAUGUGUCUGGUUUUUCCCAAGAUCACAUUGGAGGAGCUGUGGAAGGAUUAAAUAAGCAGAAUGGAGCCCGCGUGCUCCAGGCUCUGCCACCCUAGAAAUAACUGGAAGCGGGGUCCACUCGCAAUCCCAGGAAGCCCCGAAAGAGUGCAUGGAGCACGCUGUGAAGUCCAGAAGGGGGCGUAAUCACGGGCUUAGAGGCGGUCACCUUGUGCCGUGCAGAGCUGCAGAGCCUGUCGCUAGCCCAGGACCCUGCAGCAGCCCCGUGUCUGGCAGCGGGCCAGAACCGGGGUGGCUGGGGUCGUGCGGCCCCUGUGGCACAUGGCAGGAGCACGCGUCUGUGCCAGCAGCCCCGGCCUGCGAGGGUCCACAUGGCCUGGGCACUGGAGCCCACAAGCUGGUUUGUUCCCAAGAGCCCAGCUAAGCGCCGCAAGGAAGAAUCUGGAUCGCUCUAGAGGCUAAAUCAGGUUGCCUUACAGUUUUCACCCCACGACUCCCGGCAGGAGGCCAGAAACCAGCACCUUCACUCUCAUUUUUUGUUCUGUAUACCCUAAAGUUGAAUUGCUAAAUCAUAUGGACUGAGAAUUUGAACCUCUUUGACAAGCCUUUAAAAAUGCAUCAUUAUGGGAGAGACUAAUUAUUCUUAGGACUUUGAUAAUCUUUUAUUUUUGAAAGGCCAUCCAUUCACCUGUUUUGUUCAUUCAGAUGAAAAUUAAUAGAACACACAUCAUGAUUUUCAAAGCUAUUUUGAAAUGAUGGAAACCCUGCCCAAACCUUUGAAGAAAAGCACUUGCUUUAAUAGAUUUGAGAAGGUAUCCUAGCAACCACUCUAUAGUGAAAUUUAUCAAUUUCUCAGGGAGAAUUUGUAUUAAAUCCAAGAAAGAGACACUUCAAUUUUAAUUUCUUAGAGUCAUUUUUUCUACAUUGUUUCAGAGAUCGGACAUUCUUAGAUAUCUUCACUCUUGAGACUUCAUUUAAUAACCACUAAAAGCAUAUUUGAUGUUACCCUACAUGGGCUGUCUCCUUCAGUGGUACUGAAUUCCAGCUGGUACAGAAAGAUGAUAGAUAGAUAGGAGGUGUAUAUUUUAAAAUAGUAUAAGAAGCCAAAAAAAGUGCAAAAAUAUUAUAUAUGUAUUUGUGCUUUUUUGUUUUUAUUUCUAUACAUGCAAAAAUAUGGCCCAAAACCUUGUUGACCCUGAGGAAGCCUGAGGCCUAGAAAACAUUCAUUCACACUAAUCUGGCUUUUCUUUGGUUUUAUAAAAGGGAAGAGAUUUAUUUGGUUUUGCUUUCAGAUUUCAGUUAUUUCUAAAUUGAAAACUUUAAAAAAAUGUGAAUGCAAAUGAAAAUAGAAUUUGUUUCCAGAUGUAUAAACACAUCAAGCAUGAAAUGACAUGAACCAAAUAUGCAUUCUGCAAGUAGGAUUCAGAAGUGAGCUGGCUAUUAAAAUUAAAUAGUGUUAACAAUGCAAUUCUAGAUCACCAGGGAAUAGGGCCUGCAUAGAAAAUUCAUAUGCGUGAGAAAGACUUAGUCUCAGGGGUUUUGUUAUCUUGAAAAGCAAAGUGAAACUGCUAUGUGGAUUGGUCUAUGGGGAUUUAUAGUUUGUGUGUUGUUUGCAGUCAUUUAGUGUCUACCUAGAUAUAUAUGCGGAUGUGUACAUGAGGACAUGCAUGCACACAACAUAGUUAUUUUAAUUAUGAUGCUAUGAUAAUUUAGUUGUAGGGAGAGAAUUUCCAUAACUUAGCAGGAAUGCUAAUGUUUCUUUGAUGUAUGCCAGUGACAGAUGAAGACUUUAUUUAUAAUGUAUUAAGAUGAACCCUACAUUUAUAGCUACAGCUUUCUUCUGGAAUGAUGCCAAUUAACAAGAAUACAAGUAGAGCAUACUUUUCCUUCCAAAAUAGCAGGGAUUCAAUAAAGAUUUGUUGAUUUCAUUAUUCUAUAUUCUUCGAUUAGAUUUUUAUUUAAGUAUAAUAUGAAUUAUA
ensembl:lncRNA